UCCGGUUUGGCACCGGCAGUCCCCCGAGAGUCCUCAGCGCCUGGGGAGUACGGCCGCAAGGCUGAAACUCAAAGGAAUUGACGGGGGCUCACACAAGCGGCGGAGCGUGUGGUUUAAUUCGAUGCAACGCGAAGAACCUUACCAGGGCUUGACAUGCUAGUGGUACGGAUCCGAAAGGUGAAGGACCCUUCGGGGAGCUAGCACAGGUGCUGCAUGGCUGUCGUCAGCUCGUGCCGUGAGGUGUUGGGUUAAGUCCCGCAACGAGCGCAACCCUCGCCGUCAGUUAAAUCUCUCUGACGGGACCGCUGGGAUAAACCCAGAGGAAGGUGGGGAUGACGUGCCGGUUGGU
rnacentral:misc_RNA from 1 species